rnacentral:tRNA from 2 species
GCAGUCGUGGCCGAGUGGUCAAGGCGAUGAACUGGAAAUCAAUUGGGGUCUCCCCGCACAGGUUUGAAUCCUGCUGACUGCG